UCCUGGUUUCCCAGGCAGUCCCAUCAGAGUGCCUUCUUGCGAAGUAGCAACUGAUAGUAGGGGUUGCGCUCGUUAUAGGACUUAACCCAACAUCUCACGACACGAGCUGACGACAGCCAUGCAGCACCUGUGUAAAUGUCUCUGGUUUCCCAGAGAAAACUCCGUUUCUGGAGCGGUCAUAUACAUGUCAAACCUAGGUAAGGUUCCUCGCGUAGUGUCGAAUUAAACCACAUGUUCCACCGCUUGUGCGGACCCCCGUCAAUUCCUUUGAGUUUUAAUCUUGCGAUCGUAGUUCCCAGGCGGAUCACUUAACGCGUUAGCUACGACACCAAUUCUGCAGAGCAGAACCAACGUCUAGUGAUCAUCGUUUACAGCGUGGACUAC
rnacentral:misc_RNA from 1 species